UUUUCUCCAAAUGUCACUCAUUCUGUUGCUAUAAAUACUAGGACAAAGAGGAGGAGCUGGUAUCACCCUCAUAACUAAUUAACAACUAGGUCUUAAUAUUUAAGUUUUUAUUUAUUUCAAAUUAAAAUGGUGAUUGUGAAGGGAAAUGCAUCGUCUUUUCGCCCCGAAAGGAUGGAAGCAAGGCUUGUGAUUAGCUUCUGUUUGAAUAGAAAGUAUGAAGGUGAUGAUGACGACGACGAUGACGGAAAAAAAGUGGCACCUGCAGCAUAAUUUCAUAGUAUGUUGCUUUGAAACCAUGAAGCCAGUCAUGACGGUCAAGUUAAUUAGCACUUGUGUUCUCCUUUAGUCUUUCUAUUAAUUAAAAAAAUAUAUACUAUAGUAGUGAUGACAAUGAGAUAAUAUGUAGUGUUUUCUCAAUUAGCAAGGUUUGGGUCGAUUCAAUAAUAAUUGUGUACUUAUUUUAUGAUGUGAAAUAAAAAUUACAAAUUAAUUUAUGUAAUAUUAAUAGAGUCAAAUUUUAUUAAUCAAUUUUCUAUUCCUAGAGCAUAGCAUAUCCAUGCAAAAAAUGACUAUUAAAGAAUAAUAUUAGGAAUAUUAGGCAAAACUUUUCAAUUUAUUGUCUUCUUUUUCUCAUUAUAUCAGCAAUAGAUCUUUUUAUUAAUUUAGGAGUUAAUUAUAUAUCUAGAACUCCAAAUAUUUCAUAUCAAAAUUGAACCAUGUUUUAAAUUAUACACCAUUUGUUAAUUAAUCUUACGAUUUAAAAAAAAAAAAAAACGCCAUCACCAGGAUCGUGAGCCCUUAGCCUGGGAUUAGGCUUGACUCCUAUCAUAUCUAUUCGUUCAAAAAAAGAUACAAAGUUAGAGAGGGACAAGAUCAUACCUCUAACAAAAAAAAUCAACUACAAAAAAUAUUUUCAAAAAAGAGCAAUAAUGGAAAAAUAGCAUUUUAUUGAUGCUCUAAAAUAUUUUUCUUUAAGAGGUGCGUCAUAAUCCAACAAUUUACUUAAUAUGGACUAAAGAAAUAGCGUUUUUUUUCUCCAUCUUAGCUACCUUUAGAUUGAAGCUUAUUGCUCCCCUCUUUCCUUUUGCAUCGUCUUGUAAUUAGAGGUAAGAUUUAAUCCCCUUUUGUAUUCUUCUACUUAAAUAAUAUAUAUAAAAAAAAAGUAAAAGGAGGGAGGUAGAAACUAACUUAUCAAGAGUUGGUGGUUCAAUUUAUCGCUAUAAUAUCUUUCGCAUCAGAUAUGUACUUUAUGACGCUUUUAAGUGAGAUUAUCAUGUUCAAUAUCAUGAUAUGUAUAUUUUAUUUACAUUUGAUGCAUAAAUAUCACUACUUAAAAAUAGCUGAAAAACGACGGUCAAAAGUAACAGAAAAAUGACGCAAUCACUUUUGUCGCUUUUGUCUUUAACGCUUUUCAAAAAGCGAUGGACGGUGUCAUACAAAACGAGGAAUGUGUCGUUAUUGUUAUUUAACUUAUUUAAAAAAAAAUGAAAUAAGCAACGUCGUUUGUCGCUUUCUUCAAUGUGAUAGAACUAGCUAGCAAGGCCGGUAAUUAGCUUAUGUUUGAAUAGAGAGUUUGAAAGUGAUGAUGAUGGAGCAAAAAUGGUACUUGUAGCGUAACGUUAGUUCAUGUGUUUCCGUUAUAAAUAGGAAUCGUUAUUUAAGUCUUUAUGAGUACUUUUUCUAUAUCUAAUUAAAUGUUUUACUUUUCUCUUUGAUCUCUAUUAAAUAGAGUGUUUCUUUUUAUAUUUCAGUCUUCCUUUUGUAUCCAAUUUUAGUGUUAUAGUUACUUUUAUGUUUGAUCUGUAUCAAAUAGAGUGUCUCUUUCUAUAUUUAAGUCUUUAAUUUUUAAGUAUACUUCUCCAAUUUAAAUGUCUUAGUUUUUUCUUUGAUCUAUAUCAAAUGAGUGUCUCUUUCUAUAUUUAAGUCUUUAAUUUCUAAGUAUACUUCUCCAAUUUAAGUGUCUUAGUUUUUUCUUUGAUCUUUAUCGAAUAUAGGUCUCUUUAUAUGUUCAAGUCUUUUUAAGUACUCCUUCUGUCUCCAAUUUAAGUAUCUUACUUUUCUGUUUGAUAUGUAUUAAAUAGAGUGUCUUUUUUCUAUAUUUAGAAAGUAUUUCAAUUUCAAGAUUGUACAUGACAAAUUUAAGACCACUAAAUCAUUUAAAAGACUAUACGCAUCGUUAAUUUAAAAUCACAAAAUUUAAAAGUUUAUUUUACUAACUAGUUUUGACCAUAUAUUUCUAUGUGGCAAAUCAAAGAGUGUGCAUGAAAGGGAAUAUGUAUGUGUAAGAUCGUGAAAGCCAAACAUCUUCCAUGAGCUUACCUCAUGCCAUUUCAUUUCCUCAACAAUUAAUGUGUAUGUGUCCACAAAUUCACCAAUCCACCCUCUCACAUUUUCCUCUCAUCUUUUCUAAUUUCACUCAUUUUGCAAAAAGCAAAUCUCAAAAAGUUAAAGGAUUCAAACAACCACUCCAUCAAAAAUGAUUUUUAGCUGCAAUUAUUAGUGACAAUUUCAUCUUAGCACUUUUUGUAAAUGCUGCUUAAUUAAAGCCUAUAACAACAUUGAAUCUAAUGGAAAUGCUGAUAUAAAGAUUUUAGCACUCUUUGUUGUGCAUAUUUAUUAACGCUAAAAAUUGAGUAUUAAAAAUGCAUGCAGGCCUAUAACUCUCUUUAGAAAGUAAUGGGUCGAUAUUUUCUCCAAAUGUCAUACAUUCCAUUGCUAUAAAUACUAGGACUAAGAGGAGGAGCUAGUAUCACCCUCAUCAGUCAUCACUAAUUAAACACUAGGGCUUUAUAUCUAAGUUUUUAUAUUGUUCAAAUUAAAAUGGUGAUUGUGAACAGGAAUACAUCGCCUUUGCGUCCCUUCAGGGUAGAAGCAAGGCCUAUAAUUAGCUUCUGUUCGAAUAGAGAGUUUGAAGGUGAUGAUGAUGGAGCAAAAGUGGCACCUGCAGCGUAACCUCUUAGUAUGUUGCUUUGAAACUAUGUAGUGUUUUCUAUUAGUCAAUUUUCUAUUCCUAGACAAUAUCCAUGCAAAGGAUGAGUGUUAACAAAUAAUGUUAUAUAUACUUUGUUUAUUGUCUUCUUUUUCUCAUUAUAUCAGCAAUAUAUAUAGCUCUUUUUAUUAUUUUUGGAGAUAAUCAUAUAUCUAGAACUCAUAAUAGAUAUGACAGAAAUGGAUUAAUCUCUCAUAAUAGAUCACAUUAAUUAUAUGGGUUGUCUCAGAAAGUUGUUGGACUAAAUGAAAUUUUGAUGAUAUAGACAAAGUGUCUUGGAUCAC
rnacentral:lncRNA from 1 species